GACGAACGCUGGCGGCGUGCCUAAUACAUGCAAGUUGAGCGAUGAAGAUUGGUGCUUGCACCAAUUUGAAGAGCAGCGAACGGGUGAGUAACGCGUGGGGAAUCUGCCUUUGAGCGGGGGACAACAUUUGGAAACGAAUGCUAAUACCGCAUAACAACUUUAAACAUAAGUUUUAAGUUUGAAAGAUGCAAUUGCAUCACUCAAAGAUGAUCCCGCGUUGUAUUAGCUAGUUGGUGAGGUAAAGGCUCACCAAGGCGAUGAUACAUAGCCGACCUGAGAGGGUGGUCGGCCACAUUGGGACUGGGACACGGCCCAAACUCCUACGGGAGGCAGCAGUAGGGAAACAUCGGCAAUGGACGAAAGUCUUACCGAGCAACGCCGCGGGAGUGAAGAAGGUUUUCGGAUCGUAAAACUCGGUUGGUAGAGAAGAACGUUGGUGAGAGUGGAAAGCUCAUCAAGUGACGGUAACUACCCAGAAAGGAACGGCUAACUACGUG
rnacentral:rRNA from 1 species